CUUUUUCCCUGUUGCUUACUCCAUUAGCUACAGAAUUUGUUAUGCAUCAGUACAAGAGUUCCUUCGCACUGUUGCAAAGUAGCUUGGCUGUAAGAAAUUUGCAUAGCAUCUUUACUUCAAUCCCUGUGGAGUACUUCGACAUCCGCUGUUUGCCUGUUUGCGCGAGCGAAUAUUGCCGCUAUAUUAACAGCUCAUCAGUAAGAAGCAGAGAGUAGAAUAGACCGUGAAUAGAACGCACUGUAACAAAUACUUCGACAGUAGCUUCAAGCAGAGAGUAUAGCCUUACCAUGCUGUAACUGUAAUAAAUACUCCCUCUGUACCAAAAUCGUCUUAUAUUUUGGUACAGACGUUCCGCAUAUUUUUUCUCCAAAAAUGGUUGUUUUUCCCGCUAAUUCUCACUUUAUCUAGUCAAAAUAGAUAACUUGUGCUUUAAUCAGGGGCGUUACUGGCAUGUCAAAAACCCACAUCUCCUACAGCUGACUAACAACAGGGUAAACAAACAGCGAGAUUCUGAUUCUCAGGAAUCCAGAGCCACAUCUGAUUCUCAGGAAUCCACAGCCACAGUGAUUCUCAGGAAUCCGUAGCACAAAUAAAUUCAGUUAUCUACAUUGGUUCAGAUGUGGCAACCUUCUAUUCUCCUCCUUUGCUUCAUUCUUCAAGGUGCUGUUGCUGCUGAUAGAAGCGAAGUUUGGGGCUACGUUGAAAUUCGUCACAAGGUGCACCUAUUUUGGUGGUAUUACAAGAGCCCACAUCGGGCGUCUUCGCCAAUAAAGGCAUGGCCAACCAUCCUCUGGUUGGAGGGCGGUCCGGGAGGGUCAGGCGUCGGGGGUGGCAACUUCCAGGGGAUCGGGCCGCUGGAUGUCAAUCUGAAGCCACGCAACUCGACGUGGCUGCAGAAGGCUGAUCUCAUCUUCGUGGACUUACCAGUGGGUGUCGGGUAUAGCUAUGUGGAGGACCCAAGCGUGCUAGCUACAACGGACGUGCAAGUCGCUGCUGAUGCCACCGAGCUCCUCAAGGCACUUACCAAGGAGAUACCCACCUUGCACAGCAGCCCGUUGUUCCUUGUCGGCGAGUCCUAUGGUGGCAAGCUUGCAGCCAAGAUUGGAAUCUCCGUAGCAAGGGCCAUCCACGCCGGCGCCCUCAAGCUCACACUAGGGGGUGUGGUGCUUGGGGAUAGCUGGAUCUCACCAGAUGAUUUUGCGCUGUCAUAUGCGCAACUGUUGCGUGAUGUGUCAAGGCUGAGCGACGAAGCUGUUGCCCCUCUCAACAGAAUGGCGGCAAUAGUAAAAGAGCAGAUAGCAGCCAGACAAUUCACCACGGCGAAGAUGACGUGGACGAAUCUUGUUGAUUUGAUUGACCAGCAGAGUGAUGGCGUGGAUAUGCUAAAUUUCUUGCUUGACAAAGGCGAAGGCUCAUCGACGAGCCAGGUGUUUCCGUCGACCCCCAACACCAUUGACGGUCUCAUGAAUGGGGUCAUUAAAGAAAAGUUGAAGGUUAUUCCUAAGAACAUAAUUUGGCAAGGAGUGGCUAUUCAAGUUUUCGAAGCAAUGAAUGCCACCUACAUGAAGCCAGCAAUCGAUGAGGUUGAUCAAUUGCUAGCAUAUGGAGUAAAUGUAUCGGUUUAUAAUGGGCAAUUCGAUGUGAUAUGCUCGACAAUCGGUGUAGAAGCUUGGGUCAAAAAACUCAACAUACAUACCAUGGGCUUCAAGGCAGAGUUACAGGGGCACGACAAGCUGCGCAGAGAGAUAGUCGAGCCAAGACAUAGCGGACACCUUGUUGAGCGGGUCCUUAAAUCUUACAGUCCGAAGUUCAAAAUCUUCACAAAUAUUAGAAAUAGUAGUCGCGGCAGUGUGAUCCUCAUGGAGAACCACAACAGCAUUCCGGGAGUCCCAAAUCUAACAAAGGAUGGACAAGAGAACCCCAGGCCACACAUCGCCGUCAGGAGUCACAGGGGUAGCCAUGGACCAAAGAUCUUGGAAGCUUGGAGGGGUAAAUGCCGAGAGUGUUCCGAACCAGGGUGGCCUUCGGGCAGUGGAGGAACAAAUGGUUUGUGGCUUCAGAUACACAGGAGCACAAACCAUUUCCAGCUGGAAACCCAAGGAAGGGGGGUGGGGGAGGCUAAACAUUGCAAAACAAAUUUCAUAAGCAAGUCUCCUCCACGGUCCAGAAGAAAGCACGUCGGAUUGCGUCGAGCGCCUCAAAACUUUUUUGGGGAGUUGGAAAACUGACAUGAAGUAGGUGGCGAGGGAGUCGAAAACGAAGGAGGUGAGGGUUAGCCUAGCUGGCGGUGCAGAAGAGCAGCUUAGCCCUCCACCCUGUUUGAUAUUUGAAGCUGUUCAAGAGAGAGGGAGUGUGUAGGCAGAGAGAGGGAGGCCGAGGUACGUUUGUGGGAAGGACACAGACCAGCCCAUCCGUGCCUUGUGCAUAAGAAGCGCUUCCACAUAAUGGCGUCAUCCAUGAGUCACACUCAGUAGUGAAUGAUGGACACUGUAACAGCACAAGGACGGGUCGAUUAGUACCAUAAUGCAUAUGGGCUGGUCUGAAGAGUUUCUUGAGCACGCCAAGGCAGGCUUUGCGAUACUGUGAUUCUCCAGCGCGCUGCCUCAACCCCGUGAAGGCAUACGCUAGAUCAUACCAGAACCUGAACUUCUACUGGAUCCUCGGAGCUGGACACAGGGUGCCUGUCGACAAGCCGGACGUUGCUGUAAGGAUGAUCAGCAGCAUCGUUCAGUCACCUGACAGCUAGGAAGAUAUCCUCUGUAUGUGGUAUGUGCAGGUGAAUUAGCGCAAGUCGCACUGUCAGCACAACUUGAGCAGUGAGAACUACCAGGUCAUCGAACUUAAUUGUUAGUCUAACUAAUAUCUAGCACAUUCCCUAGACCCUAUAUAGUGUGGGAUGGGGCUAACCAGAGCCUGAAAUGUGACUCUCGCAAGAGUGCCUCCCUUCAACGUGCUUGCUGUGACAAGGUUAUUUGGCCCUCCUAGCGUGAGGAGACCUCCUUGCUUUGCUGCUGUUGUGUCGAUCCAUUUAUUGGUUGCAUGUUGGGUAAAGGGAGAUCGAAUGCCUGUGUGUUUAUAUGGUUUCUGAACCAAAAAGUAGAUGGCUUGUUGUAUCAGCCUUCUUUU